rnacentral:tRNA from 1 species
UCCCCGGUAGCGCAGUUGGUAGAGCAUGCGGCUGUAAACCGCUGGGUCGCUGGUUCGAGUCCGGCCCGGUGAGCCA